GGCAGAGGCCGUACUGUAGCAGAUUGAUUCUUUAGUAUGGGGGCAGGGCCCAUAUUGUGGGGGAUUAAUUCUUUAGUGUGGGGGUAUAGGGGCAGUAUUAUGGAGUUUGGGGCAUUAGUGGUAAGGUUAGGAACAGUAUUGUGAAGGAAUGGGGCUUAAGUGUGGUGGGAUAUGGGCAAUAUUGUGUGGGGCAGGGGCAUUUGUGCCGCCUUAUGGCAGCGCCGGCCCUGCUCGUGGGUACCGUAUUUCUGCUGAAGGGAACAAGUUCA